UGAGUUUACUUUCGCGGACCCGAUCCUGUCCGACGAAUACCCUCAUUAGGAAGCAUACGCCAGUUUAAGAAACACUCGCCUUGUGAAAGGUUCGAUAUUAAAGCCCUUUUAUUUUUAAUGUUUGAUUUCAUUCCCUUAAAGGAGAUACACUGUAUGUACACAAAAAUCUCACAAUGACCUUUGACGGCGAGUUGGAGCCCACUGAAGCGAUGCCUCUACCAGCAGUUCAAACAGAUGACUGCCUGGUCGUGUGUGGUAACUAAACGCUUGGGACUGUCGGUUCCUUGUUCGAUGGAGAUGUAAUGAUCUUGACUUCUGGAUGAAUGUCCUCAAUGUACAAAACAAAGAAUUGCAACAUUUUUAAAAGAAAUAACUUAUUAUGUAUGCAAGGUGUCACCACAUUCUAAACUCCGCGAAGCCAGGAGGCGGAGCUACUCGAGGCAUGAGCGGAAGUAGAAGUUAGUCAAAACAAAAUGGCGGUGACGAGAUUGUAAACGGACAUUGCAGAGAUUUUCAGUUAAAUGACAAGGGAAAAAAAAUUCAAGUAGACAAAAUGAGCAGAGUAUCGUCAAUUUAUUCUGUCCACUAGUGACUCUAAUUGGAACAAUCGAUCUUUCAAUUAAUACGCAUUUAUUUUAUUUAACAAUAGUAGUUGGAGACAGAUCAUUUUGGCCUACUGUGCUUGUUUAUUUUCUAUUAGAUAUUAUUAAUAUAUUAUUUAUUAUCAUAUUAUAUUAUGUUGUAACAUAAAAAUUGUUCUUUGUUUUAAAUGCAUUUUUAUGAGAACUAAUUAUUUUACAAGUUAUCAUUUUAUUACAUAUCAUUAUGGUCAAAUCUGCAUCGCGAGAACCAAAAAGCUCGCUCAUUGUCAAUUCAUGUCAUGGACUAUAUCACAGUUAUGCUAGUCUAUACUAAACUCAACGAUUUUCUAUAUGAAGACAGAACCUGUGAUCAAAAAGUGGAAAAUAAUCCUCGAGACAAAGCUCUUCCAAUUCUGGAUCUAAAUCGCCAAGCCAGGAAUGUCUAAACUCCUCAUCAUUUUAGUAAGCAACACUAGCACUGAAGAGAUAUCAAGUCCAGAGAUAUCAAGUCCAGAGAUAUCAAGUCAAGAAAUAUCAAGUCCAGAGAUAUCAAGUCCAGAGAUAUCAAGUCUAGAGAUAUCAAGUCCAGAGAUAUCAAGUCUAGAGAUAUCAAGUCCAGAGAUAUCAAGUCCAGAGAUAUCAAGUCCAGAGAUAUCAAGUCCAGAGAUAUCAAGUCCAGAGAUAUCAAGUCCAGAGAUAUCAAGUCCAGAGAUAUCAAGUCCAGAGAUAUCAAGUCCAGAAUGUUCUAGAAGGUAAAUAUUAGGCUUCAAAGUGUAGAUGUUUUUGUUCUUUUUAUACAUUUGUUUUUUGUUUUGUCUUUGUUGUUGUUGUUGUUGUAAUGGAUGGUUGUUAUAGCGUGUUUGU